UUUCAUUCUCAGGGCGGGGCGAAAUUCCCCACCGGCGGUUAUAGCCCGCGAGCGCCUUGGUUCUUGUCGCGAGAACCUUGGGUCAGCAGAUACUGGUGAAAUUCCAGAGCCGACGGUCAUAGUCCGGAUGAGAGAGGAUGAAC
rnacentral:ncRNA from 1 species